ACCUGGCUGGCUAUUUUGGUAGAGCAUAAGACUCUUGAUCUUGGGGUUGUGAGUUUGAGCCCCAUGUUGGGUG
rnacentral:tRNA from 1 species